UACAGAGGGUGCGAGCGUUAAUCGGAAUUACUGGGCGUAAAGGGCGCGUAGGCGGUUCAUCAAGUGUGAUGUGAAAUCCCCGGGCUUAACCUGGGAAUGGCAUCACGGACUGAUGGGCUGGAGUACUGUAGAGGACGGUGGAAUUUCCGGUGUAGCGGUGAAAUGCGUAGAGAUCGGAAGGAACAUCAGUGGCGAAGGCGACCGUCUGGACAGAUACUGACGCUGAGGCGCGAAAGCGUGGGGAGCAAACAGGAUUAGAUACCCUGGUAGUCCACGCUGUAAACGAUGAAAACUAGAUGUUGGCAGGCCUAGCCUGUUGGUAUCGAAGCUAACGCGAUAAGUUUUCCGCCUGGGGAGUACGGCCGCAAGGUUAAA
rnacentral:rRNA from 1 species